GAUGAACGCUGGCGGCGUGCCUAAUACAUGCAAGUCGAGCGAACCACUUCGGUGGUGAGCGGCGAACGGGUGAGUAACACGUAGGUGAUCUGCCCAUCAGACGGGGACAACGAUUGGAAACGAUCGCUAAUACCGGAUAGGACGAAAGUUUAAAGGUGCUUCUGGCACCGCUGAUGGAUGAGCUCUCGGCGCAUUAGCUAGUAGGUAGGGUAAAGGCCUACCAAGGCGACGAUGCGUAGCCGCCCUGAGAGGGUGAACGGCCACACUGGGACUGAGACACGGCCCAGACUCCUACGGGAGGCAGCAGUAGGGAAUCUUCGGCAAUGGGCGAAAGCCUGACCGAGCAACGCCGCGUGAAUGAUGAAGGCCUUCGGGUUGUAAAAUUCUGUUAUAAGGGAAGAACGACUUUAGUAGGAAAUGGCUAGAGUGUGACGGUACCUUAUGAGAAAGCCACGGCUAACUACGUGCCAGCCGCCGCGGUAA
rnacentral:rRNA from 1 species